GACGUAGGGGGCGAGCGUUGUCCGGAUUUAUUGGGCGUAAAGAGCUCGUAGGCGGCUCAGUAAGUCGGGUGUGAAACCUCCAGGCUCAACCUGGAGACGCCACCUGAUACUGCUGUGGCUAGAGUCCGGUAGGGGAACACGGAAUUCCCGGUGUAGCGGUGAAAUGCUUAGAUAUCGGGAGGAACACCAGUGGCGAAGGCGGUGUGCUGGGCCGUAACUGACGCUGAGGAGCGAAAGCGUGGGUAGCAAACAGG
rnacentral:rRNA from 1 species